AGCGACGCAUGCGCCCGCCG
rnacentral:snRNA from 1 species